AUUGAACGCUGGCGGCAUGCCUAACACAUGCAAGUCGAACGGCAGCACAGUAGGUAGCAAUACCUAUGGGUGGCGAGUGGCGGACGGGUGAGUAAUGCUUAGGAAUCUGCCUUGUGGUGGGGGAUAACUAACCGAAAGGUUAGCUAAUACCGCAUACGCCCUUACGGGGAAAGCGGGGGAUCGAAAGACCUCGCGCCCUUAGAUGAGCCUAAGUCCGAUUAGCUAGUUGGUAGGGUAAAGGCCUACCAAGGCGACGAUCGGUAGCUGGUCUGAGAGGACGGCCAGCCACACUGGAACUGAGGCACGGUCCAGACUCCUACGGGAGGCAGCAGUGGGGAAUAUUGGACAAUGGGGGAAACCCUGAUCCAGCAAUGCCGCGUGUGUGAAGAAGGCCUGCGGGUUGUAAAGCACUUUCGGUUGGGAAGAAAAGUUUGGCGCUAAUACCGCCGAACCUUGACGUUACUGACAGAAGAAGCACCGGCUAACUCUGUGCCAGCCGCCGCUGUAA
rnacentral:rRNA from 1 species